UUGAAACAGUUGAUACACCUAUCUAUAGGCUUGUCCGACAAUAUUCUGCGGUUUCAUUUUACUUAAAGUGCGAUGAGGUUUGAAUUGUUGCUGUUGUUAGUCAUUGCAUUGUUUUGCAACGAAGGGCGUUGCAGUAGUAACAAUGAGAUGGUAAAAUCGGAAAAAACUGAUGGUUCGACCGUGUCAGAGAAAACGUUCCAGCUUCAAAAUAUAAUCAACGCCCCAUGCAAGAGCGGUUACAUUUUAGUAAAUGGAAAAUGUGUUCAGGUCACUCCCUGAGGGUUUUCGGAAGCAAGGAGGUAUAGCGAACCACAUUCUAAAAACUUUUUAAUUAUGUAUAUUGUUUACAAUAAAUAAGUUCAAUUCAAAAAUG